rnacentral:rRNA from 1 species
CAAUAGCAUAUAUUAACGUUGUUGCAGUUGAAAAGCUCGUAGUUGAACUUUUGGUAGGAGCGACCUGGCCUUGGGCGCAUGCCCUUGUUUGCCGUGUGUCGUAUCUGGCCAUCCUUUUCCGUUUCGGCGGGAAUCCUUUACUGUGAGUAAACUGGAGUGCUCAAAACAAGACGUUUGUUUGGUACAUUAAAGCAUGGAAUAAUAAGAUAGGACCUGGUUACUAUUUUGUUGGUUUGCAUAGCUAGGUAAUGAUUAACAGGGACAGUUGGGGGUAUUCGUAUUUAAUUGUCAGAGGUGAAAUUCUUGGAUUUAUGAAAGACGAACGACUGCGAAAGCAUUUACCAAGGAUGUUUUCAUUAA